UCCGCUGCCCACACCACCCUGAACAUGCCAGAUCUCAUCUGAUCUCAGAAGCUAAGCAGAGUCAGGCCUGGUUCGUCCUUGGACAGGAGAGUAAUGGGA
ensembl:rRNA 5S_rRNA 5S ribosomal RNA